AAUGAACGUUGGCGGCGUGGAUUAGGCAUGCAAGUCGCACGAGAAGUCUUAAUUUGAAGCUUCGGUGGAUUAUUGAGGUGGAAAGUGGCGAAAGGGAGAGUAACGCGUGGACAACUUACCCCCGGGUCUGGGAUAGCUGUGGGAAACCGCAGGUAAUACCGGAUAACGUCUCCGGACCAAAGGUGUGAUUCCGCCUGGGGAUGGGUCCGCGUCCUAUUAGCUUGUUGGUGGGGUAAAGGCCUACCAAGGCAACGAUGGUUAGCGGGUCUGAGAGGACGAUCCGUCACACUGGAACUGAGACACGGUCCAGACUCCUACGGGAGGCAGCAGUGGGGAAUAUUGCGCAAUGGGGGCAACCCUGACGCAGCAAUGCCGCGUGAGUGAAGAAGGCCUUCGGGUCGUAAAGCUCUUUUAUGGGGGAAGAUGAU
rnacentral:rRNA from 1 species